rnacentral:rRNA from 1 species
GACGAACGCUGGCGGCGUGCUUAACACAUGCAAGUCGAACGGAAAGGCCCUGCUUUUGUGGUGGUCUCGAGUGGCGAACGGGUGAGUAACACGUGAGUAACCUGCCCUUGACUUGGGGAAAACUUCAGGAAACUGGGUCAAUUACCGGAUAGGAGCUCCUGCUGCAUGGUGGGGGUUGGAAAGUUUCGGCGGUUGGGGAUGGACUCGUGGCUUAUCAGCUUGUGGGUGGGGUAGUCGCUUACCAAGGCGUUGAUGGGUAUCCGGACUGAGAGGGUGAUCGGCGGCCUUGGGGGGUGGCCACGCCCAUUGGGCCUACGAGAGGGCGCAGUCGCGAACGUGGGGCAGUGGUGGGAAACCUGGUCCAACGGGCGCAAGUGUGAUGAGGAAACGCUCGGUUCGGGAUGCAGGCCUUUGGGUAGUGAACCGCUUUGGCCUGAGACGAUGGGUGAGUGACGGUAACGGGUAAAGAAGCACCGGCUAACUACGUG